CCUACGGGAGGCAGCAGUGGGGAAUAUUGGACAAUGGGGGCAACCCUGAUCCAGCCAUGCCGCGUGUGUGAAGAAGGCCCUCGGGUUGUAAAGCACUUUCAGUGAGGAAGAACGCCUGGUGGUUAAUACCCAUCAGGAAAGACAUCACUCACAGAAGAAGCACCGGCUAACUCCGUGCCAGCAGCCGCGGUAAUACGGAGGGUGCGAGCGUUAAUCGGAAUUACUGGGCGUAAAGCGCGCGUAGGUGGCUUGAUAAGCCGGUUGUGAAAGCCCCGGGCUCAACCUGGGAACGGCAUCCGGAACUGUCAAGCUAGAGUGCGGGAGAGGAAGGUAGAAUUCCCGGUGUAGCGGUGAAAUGCGUAGAGAUCGGGAGGAAUACCAGUGGCGAAGGCGGCCUUCUGGACUGACACUGACACUGAGGUGCGAAAGCGUGGGUAGCAAACAGGAUUAGAUACCCCGGUAGUC
rnacentral:rRNA from 1 species